rnacentral:rRNA from 2 species
GCGAACGGGUGAGUAACACGUGGGCAAUCUGCCCUGCACUCUGGGACAAGCCCUGGAAACGGGGUCUAAUACCGGAUAUGAGCCGGGACCGCAUGGUUCUGGUUGUAAAGCUCCGGCGGUGCAGGAUGAGCCCGCGGCCUAUCAGCUUGUUGGUGAGGUAAUGGCUCACCAAGGCGACGACGGGUAGCCGGCCUGAGAGGGCGACCGGCCACACUGGGACUGAGACACGGCCCAGACUCCUACGGGAGGCAGCAGUGGGGAAUAUUGCACAAUGGGCGAAAGCCUGAUGCAGCGACGCCGCGUGAGGGAUGACGGCCUUCGGGUUGUAAACCUCUUUCAGCAGGGAAGAAGCGAAAGUGACGGUACCUGCAGAAGAAGCGCCGGCUAACUACGUGCCAGCAGCCGCGGUAAUACGUAGGGCGCAAGCGUUGUCCGGAAUUAUUGGGCGUAAAGAGCUCGUAGGCGGCUUGUCACGUCGAUUGUGAAAGCCCGGGGCUUAACUCCGGGUCUGCAGUCGAUACGGGCUAGCUAGAGUGUGGUAGGGGAGAUCGGAAUUCCUGGUGUAGCGGUGAAAUGCGCAGAUAUCAGGAGGAACACCGGUGGCGAAGGCGGAUCUCUGGGCCAUUACUGACGCUGAGGAGCGAAAGCGUGGGGAGCGAACAGGAUUAGAUACCCUGGUAGUCCA